rnacentral:rRNA from 1 species
CCUCGGGAAACUGAGGCUAAUUCGGAAUACGAUUCAUAACCUGGAGUGGUGUGAAUCCGAAAUGCCCCGGCGCCAUAGGAUGUGGCUGCGGCCGAUUAGGUAGACGGUGGGGUAACGGCCCACCGUGCCCAUAAUCGGUACGGGUUGUGAGAGCAAGAGCCCGGAGACGGUAUCUGAGACAAGAUACCGGGCCCUACGGGGCGCAGCAGGCGCGAAACCUUUACACUGCACGCGAGUGCGAUAGGGGGACUCCAAGUGCGAGGGCAUAUAGUCCUCGCUUUUUGCGACCGUAAGGAGGUCGCGGAAUAAGUGCUGGGCAAGACCGGUGCCAGCCGCCGCGGUAAUACCGGCAGCACGAGUGAUGACCGCUAUUAUUGGGCCUAAAGCGUCCGUAGCUACUUUCC